rnacentral:lncRNA from 1 species
UUUCUUUUUAAAUGUUUAUGGUAGAAGAACAUCAAGUAUAGUUGUCAACAGACUUCUUAAUAUUACUGGUUGUGCCUGUGCCUCCAAAGCAUGGAUUUGAUAGCUCCAAUAUUGUAAUCUAAAUUUCCUGGCAAUGCCCCCACUGCUGGAUAGAUUGCUGUUGACAGCUUUUGACCAGAGGGAGCCAUUAGAUUUUGCUGGCUAGCAAACAAUUACAGCUUUGAUAUGAGCUACAAGGCUCUACCUCUCCCCUGAGUAUUAGAAGUCUGAAAAGAAGAGCUGUCUCCAUGAAGAUGGGCCAAAUGCCCUCCCUCCUGUGGCUGAUUGUGCUACAUCAUCCCAACAUGAUAAACCAGAAAUCUUUGACAUUGUGAAGUCAGCAUGUGAUGGUCAUAAGAACACAAGACUUGGGGAAGGUGACAAGCCAGGGUUUAUAUUGAUGCUCUCCAUUGUUAGCUACAUAGUCACAGAAAGUAGCUGACUAUGUUUGAAAGGCAGGUAUUAAAAACAUUACUUUAGGGGAAAGAGGUAUAUAGGUUUUACGUGUCACCACAGAAGGCAAAACUAGGACUUCCUGAUAGAUAUGAUAGGAGUAUAUAUUUUCAACGUAAUACACUGAAAAAUCUUCAUUGAAGCAACUUCAAAAUGAAAUUUAAUGUUUUAUGAAACACAAUUUCUUCAUCCUUAAAUGUAUUUUAGUAGAGAAAAUGUGACUACGAGUUAAAGAAAGAAAUGCAUGUAUCAGAUGAGAAAGAAGGGAGGUUGCAUGAGGAAGCAGCAAAAGAUGUUUCCAAUCUGAGAUUUUCAAAUUCUCUAGUUUUAGUUUAAUUGAAUUGGCUUAAAUUAAACUCUCAUUCAAGUAUAUUUUAUACUUGAAUUUCAGGACUAUAUUCGUUUAUAGAAACAAAGUGUACUAAAUGUAAAACUUCUUUAUCAAAUGGAUAUAUACUAUAAAAUAACUUUCAAACUUAAUUUGUGUAGAAUUUGUACUUGGAUUUAGGGAUGUAUGAGCCAAUAUUAUGUUUAAUUCUUUAGUGGUUGAGAAAAUUUUAAUACAUUUCUUGGGGAAUCUAUACGCAUGUACAUACACAACAGAUUUUGUGAUAAUUCUGUACAACUAUCUACUGCUCUACUUUUCUCAUUGUUCCCAAAUACUGAAAAAUUCAGAACAUUAUAUUUUCUUUGAAAUGAAUAGAUUAUUUAUCAAAGAAAUUACACUAUUAAUCUUAGAGUUUCUAUAGUGAUUCAAACAUCAUUUACAU